AUACUUACCUGACGCAGAGGUUACCGUGAUCAUAAAGGCGGUUCCUCCAGGGCGAGACUCGUCCAUUGCACUUGUGGAUCUGAGCUGACCCCUGCGAAUGCCCCUAAUGCGGGUGUCUCGGGCGUAAAAUUUUUGGUAGUCGGGACUGCGUUCGCGCUAUCCCGC
rfam:Apis mellifera strain DH4 linkage group 16, whole genome shotgun sequence.